AGGACGAACGCUGGCGGCGUGCUUAACACAUGCAAGUCGAACGGAAAGGCCCUGCUUUUGUGGGGUGCUCGAGUGGCGAACGGGUGAGUAACACGUGAGUAACCUGCCCUUGACUUUGGGAUAACUUCAGGAAACUGGGGCUAAUACCGGAUAGGAGCUCCUGCUGCAUGGUGGGGGUUGGAAAGUUUCGGCGGUUGGGGAUGGACUCGCGGCUUAUCAGCUUGUUAGGUGGGGUAGUGGCUUACCAAGGCUUUGACGGGUAGCCGGCCUGAGAGGGUGACCGGCCACAUUGGGACUGAGAUACGGCCAGACUCCUACGGGAGGCAGCAGUGGGGAAUAUGCACAAGUGGGCGGAAGCCUGAUGCAGCAACGCCGCGUGCGGGAUGACGGCUUCGGUGUAACCGCUUCGCUGUGACGAGCGUGAGUGACGGUAAGUAGGUAAAGAAGCAACCGGACUAACGUACGUGACCGAGCGACGCCGACGGU
rnacentral:rRNA from 1 species